UGGAGCCACAGCUCAAGGAAUAUGAGCAGCCUUUAGAAGCUGGGAGAAACAAGAAACAGAUUCUCUCCGGAGCCUCCAAAAGUAACCAGCCGUGCUGUCAUCUUGACGUUAGUCCAUUAAAACUCAUUAGAGAAUAAAUUUGCAUUUCUUUCAGCCAUGAAGUCCACCAUAAUUUGUUACAGCAUCUGUAGGAAUCUCAUAGGAGUAUUUCUGGGGAACACAACUUCAGACAGAGGGAAGAAUUUCAAUCUUCUCAGAAAGCAGUAGAAGAAUAAAAGAAAGGUCCAUCAUCCUGUUCUAGCUUCUCAAAUUUGAGCUUUCUCCACUGACAUGUCUCAGAUAUCCAGAUGUGCUUGGCAAGAAAAUCGACUCAUUUUUGGAUACCCAGGUUCAUUUAAGUAGUUGGAAAUGCAUAUCUGGACUCCAGGACAGAGGUCAGACCCGGAGAUAUAUUAAAUUAAAACAAGCUGGGUUGUCAUAUCAUAAUGUAUGAGUUAUGCUGAUUUACUUUUCUAUGAACUACUUUGUCC
rnacentral:lncRNA from 1 species